rnacentral:rRNA from 1 species
GAGGUUUCGAUCCGUGGCUACAGAACGAACGCUGGCGGCAGGCUUAACACAUGCAAGUCGAACGCCCUGCAAGGGGAUGGGCAGACGGGUGAGUAACGCGUGGGAAUCUACCUAGUUCUACGGAACAACACAGGGAAACUUGUGCUAAUACCGUAUACGCCCUACGGGGGAAAGAUUUAUCCGGAAUUAGGAUGAGCCCGCGUAAGAUUAGCUAGUUGGUGGGGUAAUGGCCUACCAAGGCGACGAUCUUUAGCUGGUCUGAGAGGAUGAUCAGCCACACUGGGACUGAGACACGGCCCAGACUCCUACGGGAGGCAGCAGUGGGGAAUAUUGGACAAUGGGCGCAAGCCUGAUCCAGCCAUGCCGCGUGAGUGAUGAAGGCCUUAGGGUUGUUAAAGCUCUUUCAGUGGGGAAGAUAAUGACGGUACCCACAGAAGAAGCCCCGGCUAACUUCGUG